rnacentral:rRNA from 1 species
UACGUAGGUGGCGAGCGUUGUCCGGAAUUACUGGGUGUAAAGCGCGCGUAGGCGGGAGGCCAAGUCCGCUGUGAAAUCGCCCGGCUCAACUGGGCGCGGUCGGUGGAAACUGGUCACCUGGAGGACGGUAGAGGCGAGUGGAAUUCCCGGUGUAGUGGUGAAAUGCGUAGAGAUCGGGAGGAACACCAGUGGCGAAGGCGGCCUGCUGGGCUGUUGCUGACGCUGAGGCGCGACAGCGUGGGGAGCAAACAGG